UUUUUUUUUUGGUCUUUUUAGGACCGCACCUGCAGCCAUGUGGCAGUUUUCAGAGCUGUAGACUCUGGCUCAGGAUCCGAGCCGCAUCUGCGAACUACACCACAGCUCACAGCAACGUGGGAUCCUUAAGCCACUGAGCGAGGCCAGGGAUCGAACCUGUGUCCUCAUGGAUGUGAGUCCGGUUCAUUAACCACUGAGCCACGAUGGGAACGCCUAUAAUGAUAAUUAUUAAUUUAGAAAACCUGAACUUUAAUUCUAGCACUCCCUAAAAGAGCACACUCAAUAAAUAAUACGUUUUGUGAAAACGUCACUUAAAAAGCAUUAAAGAAAACUAAUGGCAUGGACUCCACCACUCUGACAGUCUGACUGGUUUGCUUGUCCCGUGAGAAAACAUCGGAGUUUGGACAGCAAGACGAAGGCAAGCUCAAACUCGGAGGAGUCUUAACAGUCUGUCCCCUUGGUUGCAACUGAUCAAGAACGGACAUGUUCCCAGGUGACUACCCAAAAAUGGGGUUUCACAGUGGACCUGGAUGGCAACUCUGCCAGUACUUGGGGGUGGGGGUGGGGGGAAUCACAGGAUAUUUUUUUCAGGAAAAGGAAACUUCAUGUUAAAGUAAUAUUUUCAUCAGAACAGUUUCUCCCGUUUCAUUUGUUUCAAAUACAGUACAAGCACUUUUGGAAACAAUACGAUUAGGAGCAUAGGAAAGAAUUACCCUGUAGGGUUUGGACUGGUGCAUUUUAUGUGUCAAGUUAACUGGCUCAUGGGGCGCACGGAUACAGGGUUAAACAUGAUUUCUGUGAGUGCAAGAGUGUUUCCAGAUGAGAGAGCAUUUGAGCUGGUGAACCGAGUUAAGGAGAUCGCCUUCCCCAAUGCGGGUGAGCAUCAUCCACUCUGGUGAAGGCCCGAAUAAAACAGAAAGGCAGAGAAGGGAAGAACUCGCUCUCUAAGGCUGCUGAGCUGGAACACAGGUUUUCUCAGGCCUUCAGACGUGCACUAAACUCACACCACCAGCUCUCCUGGAUCCUGGGCCUUCACACGUGCACUAGCUCAUACCACCAGCUCUCCUGGGUCCUGGGCCUUCACACGUGCACUAAGCUCACACUACCAGCUCUCCUGGGUCCUGGGCCUUCAGACGUGCACUAAGCUCACACCACCAGCUCUCCUGGGUCCUGGGCCUUCACACGUGCACUAAGCUCACACUACCAGCUCUCCUGGGUCCUGGGCCUUCAGACGUGCACUAAGCUCACACCACCAGCUCUCCUGGGUCCUGGGCCUUCACACGUGCACUAAGCUCACACUACCAGCUCUCCUGGGUCCUGGGCCUUCAGACACGUGCACUAAGCUCACACCACCAGCUCUCCUGGGUCCUGGGCCUUCACACGUGCACUAAGCUCACACCACCAGCUCUCCUGGGUCCCCGGUCUUUGGGCUGAGACUAGAACUGCAUCACCAGCUCUUCUGCAUCGCCACUUUGUAGAUGGCAGAUGCAGGGACUCCCAAACCUCCACAAUCACGUGAGCAGAUUCCUUCAACAAAUCUCCUUGUACCUGUGUGUAUGUGUGUGUGCAUGUUUGUAUAUGUGUCUCUGUGUGUGUUAUGUAUGUACACUGUGUGUGUAUGUGUUAUGGACGUAUACAGCUAGGUAUAUAGCUAGUUGCACAGGGUAAGGUAACCACACAUACAGAGAGGUAUAGGUGUGAGUGUUUGGAUAGGUAUCCUACUGGUUCUGUUUCUCUAGAGAACCCUGCCUAUUACAGUGCUGUAUGCUUAAAUUAACAUAUUGGUUUACACAGCAAUACAAAUCAAAUAAUUCAAGUAAACACAAAAGAGUAAUACCCUCUCUCUCGUGUUUUAACUCACUGGAACCCAAAGUUAAAUUUAACUUUUAAAUCAGUUAAUCUACAAAUUACUUAUUCAUUUUAACAACUUCUUAAAACCAACUAAAUGCUGUUUAACUUGGUAGUUACCUUUUCUAAUCUUUUAAAGUAUAUCAUCCAAAGUUCGUAGCUAUUUUGAGUAUAAUACUAAAAAUAAUGCAGCCCCUCAAAGGAAUGAAUAAAAUAAUUUGAAGUUGUUAGUCCCAAAAGAAUAAAUAUUUUGAAAUAUUUUAAAACGUAAAAGUUGCCUUCAUCUUAAAAGUCUUUUAACAUUACUCUGAAUGUUUAACAAGGCCUGUAAGUGGGUCAUGAGAUUAUUUGUUCCCAGACUGAAAAUCUAUAUACAAAUUGGUCCCUGGAAAGAAUUUCCAACCCAAGGUUAUGAAAACCAAAAGAAGGACUAACAACGCGAGGCCCAGCCUAGCGCUAUGGUGUCCCACUCGGUCCCGGCUUCGGGCAUUCUGAGAGCCACCGUGUCCCACUCAGUCCUCGACCCCCAGCACCCUGACAGCCACGAUGUUCCACUCAGUCCCCGACCCCAGAACCCUGACGGCCACAGUGUCCCAUUCAGUCCCCGACGCCCGCCCCCAGUACUGUCAGAGUUGCCAUCCAGGACCCCAGCACCCUGACAGCCACGGUGUCCCACUCAGUCCCCGAUGCCCAGCACCCUGACAGCCAUCGUGUCCCGCUCAGUCCUGUCCUGCAACUGCUCAGGGCCAAAAAGAAUGCUCAGUCCUUUUAACUUGAAAGACACAAAUAUCUUUUCCUCUCAGUGGUGCGUUAAAUAUAACUGAUCAAGUGCUAUCGUGUUGAUUUAUUCAAUCAGUGCUUUAUUACAUCAUAAUUAACCAAAACCAACACACUUUCCAGUGUCUAUUUCAGAUGACAGACCUGGGCUCCUGGGCGCAGGCGCCGUGCCAUCCAGCCCGCCCACCGCUCGGUGGGGGCUGCAGGCAGAAGCCCUGCACCCGGUGCGGGUGCCCCUGCUGUCGGCUGAGCUUAGCCAGCGCUUCCGCUCUCAUGUCUGGGUCUCACUGUCCCCUCUCUGCACCUCUGGGGCCGUGAAGCCAAUCAAAGCUUGCUCGCUUUGUCAUUUAGAGUCUCUAAAAGUACUGACUCCUUUCCAGCCUGUGUGAUAGCUGGUGACUAACAAUACUGAAAACAAAAUAAACCACCUGUUCCUCACACAAUAUCCUGUCAUUUCAAACCUUUCAGGAAACUUCAGAGGUUAGGGGAAGUUCCACAAAUCAGAAUAUUUACUUCAACGGAUUUAAUAUUCUAUUUCACAAAACGCACAACCGACAUACCUAACAUCAUGUGAGUUCAUUACUAAACAGAAGAUUAAGGAAGUAGAAAAAUAUGGCAAUAACUACGAAAAUAACUUCAAAGACAUCCUUUCACAUGUAACAAUAAUUUCCACUAAUCAGUUUGCUGUUCAAAGCAUAUUUACCAUAGGUUUAAAUAAAAUGACCAUUAGAAAGGUGAUCUGGUGACAAAUCUUCCAGCUAAAGAAUCGCAGCAUAAAUUACCUCUUUCCUGAACUUGCAUAACUCCUCUGAGAUAAGGUCAUUUUCUAGGGCCAAGAUUCUGUAUACAUGUUUUAACAAAGAAAAUGAUUUAUAGAUUUUCACUUUCACAUUCAAUAUCUCAGUAUGCACCCAAAGCUACGGGCUCAGGAAAUUGAAAUAGAAAUGACGACGUAUCUGGAAGGAGACCAGCAACUAACCACCAACCCAAAUGAAUAAGUCCUUUCUUUUCAUAAACCCCAGCUUUAUAUAGUCCUAUCUAAUUUUUAUGCAAACACAGUUGCUGCUGAAACAAAGAACCAGACUCCCUUUCUCCCCACUCUGGUCCCUUUCAUCCAUUGUUUUAUGCCCUCACCGAUUUGUAGUUAAGACUUAAGCAUCUAUCAUACAAUGUGCAGAAAAAUAACUGCAGUUCAGAGGACAUGAAGAAGAUAUCUGGAGUUCCCAUCGUGGCUCAGCGGAAACAAAUCUGACUAGCAUCCAUGAGGAUGCAGGUUUGAUCCCUGGCCUCGCUCAGUGGGUUAAGGAUCUGGGGUUGCCAUGAGCUGUGGUGUAGGUUGCAGAUGCAGCUCGGAUCUGGUGUUGCUGUGCCUAUGGUGUAGGCUGGCGGCUACAGCUCUGAUUCAACCCCUAGCCUGGGAACCUCCAUAUGUUUGCAGAUGCAGCCCUAAAAACAAACAAACAAAAAAAAAAUAGAAGAAGAAGAAGACAUCUGUUUCCUUAGCAUAUUCAACAAUUUACAGCUUUCUAGGGAUGGUUCCCUGGGUGACACUUCACAACUAACAGCAUAAAUGCAUUGGUCUCAAUUUCUAAGAUGACAAGAAAAAUCACACACAUACAUUACCUUCUACUUCAGAGUACACUGCUCAUACGUAUAUUCUGUACUUAGCCCAACACUCUGAGUAGUGUGAGAAAAAUUCAGAAUAACUGUUUGUCAUGGUUAAAUCAGUUUGGGCAUAAGAAAAAGAACAUUUUAAAAACAAAGGAAAAAAAAAAACCUCUUUGCAACAUGCUCCUGUUCUAAUCUAUACCAUCAGUCCCAUCCUCACCCCCAGGAGAGACCGAAAGGUCACCCAACAAGGCAGAAAGCAGUCCCAAAAACAGUUUCGAAAUCCACGAGGCCCUGGGAAGAGGAGAGUGAAGUUUUCCGAGGAAGAAAACACAGAAAUCAGCCACAAUGUGAAAGUUUUGAGGAGAAAAUGAUCAGGAGGGCCAAGUUCACCUGUGCUACAAACCCAAGAUGAGCUGCUGGGAAGAGAAUAGAGAGUGCAGCUGUCAGCUCAGCACCCGGGAUGCAUACGCAGAAGCCGCCGGGUUAGGAUGGAGAGAAAUAAAAAGCAGUGGCAAACUAUCGCCUUUGGGAUGGACAAGCAAUGAGAUCCUGCUGUACGGCCCUGGGAACUCUAUCUAGUCACUUAGGAUGGAGCGUGAUGGAGGAUAAUGUGAGAAGGAAUGUACACAUGUAUGUGUGACCGGGUCACCUUGCUGUACUGUAGAAAAUUGAUAGAACACUGUAAACCAGCUAUAAUGGAACAAAUAGAAAUCAUUUUUAAAUUUUUAAAAAAAAAAAAAUUAAAAAAAAAAAAAAGGAGUUGCAGCUGACGGAUUAGGAGGAAGACCCUGAUCAAUUUAUUCUCAGGUUCCUUGAAAUCCUGAUGGGAUGCAAGACAGUACGACUACACACCUAACCUGCUAACACAACAUGUCUUUUUCACCUGAUGGCAAAUCACAAUCACACCUCCUUUGUCUCCUGCUAUCUUCAGACUGACUUGAUUUCUGUUUCCCCCAGUUUCACUGACACCGAUCUCCUCACUGAUGCAGAUGAACUUAAGCACUUUUGAGUAUUUUUAUGUGCCCAUCGUUACCAUAGUAACAUGACUUAUGCAGGGCCUGUCAUUUGCCGGGGACUGUACCAGGCAACAGGCGCACAUUCUGCACGAAACUGACAUGGGCUCUGCCCUCGCCGCAGAGCCUGCCAUCUCGUUAGAACGGCGACAGCGAGGGGCAGUAACAGGUAAGUCUGAUCAGUGGAAAAUGCACAGUGACAAGGGGGCACUGAACGGAGUUUGGGGAACACUGGGAGGAAGGGGGUGUCCCACUGAAGUGACUUGGGGCUGAGGCCUCAGGGAUCAGCGGGAGUUCACUGAAUAGGGGAGGAGAAGGAAGUGGGCGAGGGGCAUCCAGGCAGUGCCCUCUGGACGGGCGGGUCUAUCUGUUCCUCACACUCCUUACGGACAGAAAGUUCUACUUCAUGGGUGCUCAGAGGGGGUCGCAACUGUCAAUAUGCCAAAACACAGUCUGUCUUAAGCUUCUCCUGUGUUUCUGAUAGAGUACUGUAAUUUAAGAAAUGAGAUUCUUAAAAGUCAGAACAAGACUUUCAUAGAUCUAUCAAAAAAGCUUCAGAGUUCUCAUUGUGGCUCAGUGGUUAACGAGCCCGACUAGGGUCCAAGAGGACACGGGUUCGAUCCCUGGCCUCGCUCAGUAGGUUAAGGAUCUGGCAUUGCUGUGAACUGUGGAGUAGGUUGGGGAUGGGGCUCAGAUCCUGCAUUGCUGUGCCUGUGGUGUAGGCCAGCAGCUACAGCUCAGAUUCAACCCCCAUAUGCUGCAGGUGUGGCCCUAAAAAAACAAAAGAUGAUAAAAAAAGAAAGAAAGAAAGAAAGCUUCACGGAGGAACAUUCUGAAUCAGGAGAAUUCAUAUCCUCCUUCCAGGAAGAGUAUAAAGUGAAAGCUUUACAUCUUAGGCAGUUUCACAAAGCUGAACUACACAUAAAAGGAGGCAGUCAUAAUUCUUUCUCAGAACAAAAUAUCUGCCAGACCACAUGGCUUAUCUCAACUGAUGGACAUAAUUCCCACUUGUGACAGAACUAAGGUCAAAUACAGAAUCACUAGGCAAAAAGCUUCUCUGUUGAGAAAAGAAAAAAUAUACAACAUGGACAGUAACUGCUAAGUAAAAGAACCUCAGAGAGAAAAAUGGACAUCCACACUGAUGCUCCCUGUUCUUCACAGGCGUGCGUGUUUGCAUGUUGGAAACAGAACGGUGUUUUGUUUUGUUUUUGUCUUUUUGUCUUUUUGUCUUUUCUAGGGCAGCAUCUGAGGCAUAUGGAGGUUCCCAGGCUAGGGGUACAAUCAGAUCUGUAGCCGUCAGCCUACACCAGAGCCACAGCAACACCAGAUCCAAGCUGCAUCUGUGACCUACACCACAGCUCACAGCAAUCCCAGAUCCUUAACCCACUGAAUAGGGCCAGGGAUCAAACCUGCAACCUCAUGGUUCCUAGUCAGAUUCGUUAACCACUGAGCCAUGGACGGGAACUCCACGGAAACAGAAUGGUUUUUACUACAAAUUUUCCUAGCACCUCUCAAAAGUGUAUUGUGACUGGGCUUUUUCAGAAGCACCAAUAAUGUUCUAUUUUGGCUUAGAAUAUCCUGUCAUUUCACUAGUGGCGAUGAGGAUAAUCCUGUUACUACCGUUGCCACUGUGUUCUGCUGUGUGUAUAUGUGUUUUAAAGUUGGUAAACCUACUUUAAACCCUCAAAUUUCAUUUAAGAAUCCUUAGGUCAACCAUUAGUCACAAAACUUAUAGAUGUUCGAAUGAUCUAGAAAAAUAAUGAAAGAGUUCUACGAACAUAAAAGCAGUGUGACUAUUUCAAAUCAAAAAUAUAUUCUGAUUUUUCCAACAAAGCCAUGUAAAAAAUGGUCCCCCAGUCAUACAGGCAGACAAGAAGUAGGUCAAGCUUAUCAGUGGAAGAAAUAACGUUCGGAACCAUACAAGACUUAUUCAUCUACUCCUUCAAAGAGGGGCACCUAGUCAAGGCCAGAGACUAAGUACUUUCCCAACACCCAGGUGAAACAGUAGGCACAUUUAUUUAUAAUGUAUUUACCAUCUGUGAAAACUGCCUGGUGAAGAAAAGUCAAAACCUUGCAUUCUGCCAGAACACCUAGUAAACUGAAGAGUCAGUGAGUAAAAAACACCAAUGACAUUGAUACAUUUCCUAAAACCUAAGAUCUGGCAUGUGCAUAUCUCACUAGCACAUCAUUUUAAGGAAAGUUAUUGGCAGGCAUUACCUGCUGGAUGAUGCAGGUACCACCAACACACACCACGUGCGAGGAAGCCCAGAGGGGGCCUUGCACGCCCAGACUUCCAUUUCCACUUGGGAUGUUCCUUAGAAAAAUAUGGGACAGAGAUAUCUUCCAUUUUCUUCACAUGAUUCCUGAAUGCUCUAGACAUCUCAAUGUCAUUAAACCACUAAGAGGGCUCCCUGGAGUCAUACGCUCUGUGUCUUAUCACUGUGUCCCCAACGCCUAGAGCCCGGUGUGCGCAAAGCAGGCACUCAGGUAUCUGCCGCAUGAAUGAAAAAAUAAAGCCACCAAAUCCUGCCUUAGGGAACUUAAAACGGGAGUUACAACUGACUCUAAAUGCUAAUUCAGAGUUAAAAAAAGAAAAGCAGCAGGGAUUGAUCCCAUCAAUUAACUACUACAAAUGUUUAGGAC
rnacentral:lncRNA from 1 species